GGGUCUUGGGAUAGUUGGAGUUAAGCGUCCUUGGGUUUGAGUAGUACUGGGAUGGGUGACCUCCUGGGAAGUCCAAACUCAGAAGCUU
rfam:Selaginella moellendorffii unplaced genomic scaffold SELMOscaffold_28, whole genome shotgun sequence.